rnacentral:snRNA from 1 species
GGAUGUGAGGGCGAUCUGGCUGUGACAUAUGUCACCCCACUGAUCACCAGCCUUGAUUUGGCUGAUCUGGCUGGCUAGGUGGGUGUCCCCUUCCUCCCUCACCACUCCAUAUGCAUCCCUCCCAAAGCUAGGCACUCGGUUGAAGAGGACGACCUUCCCCGAAUAGAAGAGGACAGGUCUUCAGUCAAGGUUAUACAAGCAGCUGCGCUCCCCUGCUAGAACCUCGAGACAAGCUCUCAAAAGAGUCUGUAUUCUUACCAUUGCCCCAAUGCAGGUCAGCUGGCCCAAUCUCAAAGAUUGUAAUCUCUCAAUUGCAGCUGAAUGGGCAGCAGUUCACCCAAA